rnacentral:tRNA from 1 species
GCCAGUGUGGCAUAGUGGUUUGAGUGUUGGAUUGUGACUCUGGCGACCAGGGUUCGAUUUCCGCUGAGCCA